rnacentral:rRNA from 1 species
CGNAGGUGACCUGCGGAAGGAUCAUUA